GUUAUCCGGAAUUAUUGGGCGUAAAGCGCGCGUAGGCGGUUUUUAAGUCUGAUGUGAAAGCCCACGGCUCAACCGUGGAGGGUCAUUGGAAACUGGAAAACUUGAGUGCAGAAGAGGAAAGUGGAAUUCCAUGUGUAGCGGUGAAAUGCGCAGAGAUAUGGAGGAACACCAGUGGCGAAGGCGACUUUCUGGUCUGUAACUGACGCUGAUGUGCGAAAGCGUGGGGAUCAAACAGGAUUAGAUACCCUGGUAGUCCACGCCGUAAACGAUGAGUGCUAAGUGUUAGGGGGUUUCCGCCCCUUAGUGCUGCAGCUAACGCAUUAAGCACUCCGCCUGGGGAGUGCGACCGCAAGGUUGAAACUCAAAGGAAUUGACGGGGACCCGCACAAGCGGUGGAGCAUGUGGUUUGAUUCGAAGCAACGCGAAGAACCUUACCAAAUCUUGACAUCCUUUGACCCUUCUAGAGAUAGAAGUUUCCCCUUCGGGGGACAAAGUGACAGGUGGUGCAUGGUUGUCGUCAACUCGUGUCGUGAGAUGUUGGGUUAAGUCCCGCAACGAGCGCAACCCUUAAGCUUAGUUGCCAUCAUUAAGUUGGGCACUCUAAGUUGACUGCCGGUGACAAACCNGGAGGAAGGUGGGGAUGACGUCAAAUCAUCAUGCCCCUUAUGAUUUGGGCUACACACGUGCUACAAUGGACAAUACAAAGGGCAGCGAAACCGCGAGGUCAAGCAAAUCCCAUAAAGUUGUUCUCAGUUCGGAUUGUAGUCUGCAACUCGACUACAUGAAGCUGGAAUCGCUAGUAAUCGUAG
rnacentral:rRNA from 1 species